CUAAUGUUGAGACAUCAAUGUGCUAUUUAGGCUCAUAUAAGCUAAUAGGACCCUUAUAAUUUUGUGAGGACCGAAAUUUGCCAGGAUAAGGAUGGAAUCAAGCGAUAAUAUUAGAGACUAAUGGUUAAAUCAUGCAAAAGACUAGGACUAAGCAUGUAUGCAUGGGAAUGGCAUGCAACUACUCACUCUGCCUUUCUUCUUCCUUUGGCAUCUCCGCCCAAUCCCUUCAAUCAUUAUGGCCUUGGGAUUGAAAUUUUUUCAAUUAUGAGCCACCUAGGGACUCAUGAAGAUUUGAGCACCAAAAUGCCUAUUCUUUAUGUGUGAUAGAUUAUGGAAAAUGUUAUUGGU
rnacentral:lncRNA from 1 species